ensembl:lncRNA
UUCAUUUCAAAGGUUUAUUUGCAUGACGCACAAACACACAAUUGAAAGGUACAAAUGUGCAUGACACGAAUUCAAACGUGCUGCAGAUGUGUGUCACCAGUUGAUCUGGCUGUAGGCUGUGGCACUUGGCCAGAGGUGGCGCUGGUUGACUCGACUCCAUGUUGGUGCACAGAGCAAACUGCUCGCUUUAGUUGUGGAGCAAAAACGCUGAAUUCGGUGACAUAAACCGUGCGAGUGGAACGAUAACGACGACAAGAGUCUCCCGAUCGUUUACUCUUUGUGUCCUGUGAACAACAACGGCGUGGUGUUACUUGUUUGCUGUUUUCGCGAUCGCGUCGCGCAUGAGGAUAUCACCAGUUCUCAUCACGCUGAUUGAUGUCCAAGGGGUCUCCUCUCCCAUAAGUUUGAUUCUAAUUCCUACCGCGGUGAUGUUAAAUUGGGGUGAAACGUCAUCAUAAGAGCUUUGACUGACAGCUGCAGUCACGGAAAAACUUGCGUAUCUCUGUUCGGGAAUAGCAGAUAGAGCGUAGGCUCUGAGAGGACGCCCAGCGUUUACAGUACGAAAACACGACCGAGUGUUUUAACCUGACAGCCUGAGGUGUUCUUCAGUAAACUGGACUACCCGACAGAAGGACCCGAGGCCCCGCUGCACUUUUUCGGAUGCAUAUACAUUCACGACUGUCCAGCGGAUCCCUUCAUUCCUAUCGCAAUGGUUAUUUCUGGAUUCAUUUCUUUCUUCUGGGCAUUGAGCUGGUGUAAGAAUGGAUGCAGAAUUUUCUGCUACUGUAUCAUCUCCAUUCUCUUUUUUAUCUGGUUCGUAGGUACUGUACAUGUCUACUGCAACUACAUCCUGAACCAUACUCCAGAAACCGAUCUCAAAUGCAACAUGUAUUUCCACCUGUUUGCAUUUUGGUGCAGUAACGUGACCUACAUCCUGAUAGCCAUUCAUAUUUCCUGUCUUAUUACUGCUUGCUGCAACAACCGGAUGGAGGCUUACGAGAUUUCUGAUGAGGCUCGGCCACUGCUGUGGCGCUAAUCAUAUCACAUAUGUAUGUAUGUAUGUAUGUAUGUAUGUAUGUAUGUAUGUAUGUAUGUAUGUAUGUUUGUUUGUUUGUUUGUUUGUUUGUUUGUAUGUUUGUUUGUUUGUUUGUUUGUUUGUUUGUUUGUUUGUUUCCCAUCUCCCCUUAGACAAGUGGACCAAUACUGAUGAGAAAGAUUAGAAUGGGGUCACAAUAAAAUAUAUCACACAGUAAUAAACAUAUACUACUACAACUACAAAUAAUAAUGACACUGACUAAAAUAAAAUCAUAAGCAAACAACAGGAAAAAUAUACUAAUAUUUUCAUGUGUGCUUUAUUUAGAACAUCAUAUAUUUAAUGUUGGUUAAUCUAGCAACAUGUAGUUUUUGAUCUUUUGUUAGAGAAAUCUUAUGAUUAACAAUUCAUGUUUAAUCUUUAGAGGUAGAGAUUUGAUAGGGUGUUCUUUUCUAAUAUUUUCAUGUGUGUGCGCAUGCACGGGUAUGUUGGUAUGGGUAUAUAUAUAAUUGUAGGUUGUGUAUCCUUGAGGUGUUAAUGGGGUUAUUGAAAAUGUGUAUAUGUGCGUAUGUGUGUAUAUACGUAUGUAUGGAUAGAUAGAAACAUAUAUGUGUAUAUAUUUAAAAAAAAUUACACAUUACAUAUAAUGUAAUUGCAAGGAGGUAUUUCUGUAGUCUAUUGAUACUAGAUAGUGGAAAAGGGGUGGGAUUAAAUAAGCUUAUGCUUCUUCCUGCUCCUUUUUGAACAUGGACGUUAUUUGGAGUUGUGGUUGCUCGUUUUCCUUUUGUUUGCUUUGUUCAUUUGUCUCUUUUAAUUCUAUUUUUUUUAUACUUUUUCAACAUGUUCAAAAUAAAGAAUCAAUCAAUCAAUCUUUUAUUAUCAUUUAUUAGCUCCAUGUACUUUGAAACUUUAUGACUACAAACAAAGAUGUACAUAUUGUAAACCAUAUUUAAUUUAAUAAGAAGAGAUCACUAUUACAUUUGUCUGGAAGAAGUGAACAUGAUUUAUUGAGACACAGAAUUCAGUUAAGCUAAGACACCGCUCAC